CUUGUACCUUUUUGUUCUUUGCCUCCUUCCAAACUGCGUCGUCUUGGUUCUGCUCCCUCCCGUUGACCAUCGCUCAAGAACUGGUUCUGCCGGAUCUGAUGGAGCCGGCCGAAGUUGAUUCCCUGGAGGCCGCGAUUGGAUGGCUGGUGCGAACCAUCAUCGCAGUCCUCCUAACGGACAAGAUGGAUGUGUGGAUUCGAGGAGUCAAGCUUGACGAUGACGUCAAGAAACUGAGGUUCGAGAUCCGGAGAGUCGGGAUGGUGGUCGCUACUGUGAAGGGGAGGGCGACCGGGAACGAGCAGCUGGGUGAAUCUCUGGCUAUUCUCAAGGAGCUGCUCUACGACGCCGACGAUGUUGUCGACGAGCUAGACUACUACAGGCUUCAACAGCAGGUUGAAGGAGACACAGUUACAAGGGACGAUGAGAUAUCGAGGGGCGACGCUGAUACACCGAAUAGCAGUGUUGGCAAAUUACGGUCCGCGGUAUGGCAACACUUUAUAAUCACAGAAAAAAUUGAAGGAAGGCCGGUCAGAGCAAAAUGCAGUCUCUGUUCAGAAGAGUUUGCGUGCGAUUCAGUGGCGAACGGGACAUCAUCUAUGAGAAAGCAUUUAAAGAACGCGCAUUCCGUAAUUUGCGAAAAUGGAAAGCGUUCACGAAACCAUUCAAGCACGGGUGAUGAUGCUACUGAAAAUGCGACGCCUAUUGUCAUUGGCAGCUCAUCCAGGGGAAAAAGAAAGAGAACAAAUGAGGACUCGGCACAAAUCACCGCAGCUAACAAACGCACCCAUUGGGACAAGGCGGAAAUAUCCAAUAGGAUAAAGGAAAUAACUAGUCAGUUAAAAGACAUCCGAGAGGAAGUGAGUGAGGUUCUCAAGCUGCAUGGAUCAGACCUUGCUUCAAGUUCAAAUAACCACCGGAGUACAGCCUCAGAUCAGCACCUGAGAACAUCAAGUCUUGUUCAAAGGAAAGUGUAUGGGAGAGAUGGAGAAAAGAACAACAUCAUAAAGAUGAUAACGCAAGACAAAUCUAAUGGUGUAACUGUUCUGCCUAUUGUAGGCAUUGCAGGUGUUGGGAAGACAACUCUUGCUCAACUCGUGUACAACGAUCCCAUCGUGGAAAGUAAAUUUGACACCAAGAUAUGGAUUUGGGUGUCUCGCAACUUUGACAAAGUGAAGCUCACAAGGGAGAUGCUACAUUUUGUUUCCCAAGAAACGUAUGAAGAAAUAAACUGCUAUGUGAAGCUUCAGGAGAUCUUGAAGAGUAAUGCCAACUCAAAGAGGCUUCUACUUAUUUUAGAUGAUGUCUGGGAUGACAUGGACGAUUGCCGUUGGAACCAACUGUUGGCUCCUAUUAAGUCUGACAGUGCAAAUGACAACAAUGUGAUUCUGGUGACAACUAGAAACAUGACUGUUGCAAAAAUGAUUAGAACAGUUGGGCCAAUUCAGUUAGGUGCUUUGGAAAAUGAUGAUUCCUGGUUAUUGUUCAAAUCUUGUGCAUUUCGUGAUUGGAACUAUGAAGGUCCUGAAAUUCUAAGCAGUAUUGGACGACAAAUAGCAGAUAAGUUAAAGGGUAACCCAUUAGCAGUAGUAACUGCAGGGGCACUAUUAAGAGAUCAUCUCACCGUUGAUCAUUGGAGUAACAUUCUCAAGAAAGAAAACUGGAAAUCGCUGGGACUCAGUGGAGGUAUCAUGCCUGCUUUGAAGCUUAGCUAUGAUCAGCUUCCGUACCAUUUACAGAAAUGCUUCUCAUAUUGUUCUAUAUUCCCUGAUAAAUAUAAGUUUCUCGGUAAGGAUUUGGUCUAUAUUUAGAUUUCUCAGGGAUUUGUGAAUACCCAUUUAAGUAAGAGAUUGGAGGAGACAGGAUGGGAAUAUCUGAUUGAUUUGGCAAACCUGGGAUUCUUUCAGCAAAUCUUAAAAGAAGAAGAAGAAGAUGAUGAUAAUGAAGAUGGUGAAGGAGAAGGAGAAGAAUCCUCUCUAGGGAGUCAAAUUUUCUAUUCUAUGUGUGAUGUCAUGCACGAUUUUGCGAGGAUAAUUUCAAGGACUGAGUGUGCAACCAUAGAUGGUCUAGAUUGCGAUAAGAUUUUGCCUACUAUCCAGCAUUUGUCAAUAGUAACUGAUUCUGCAUACAACAAAGAUUGGCAAGGGAACAUUCCUCGUAACACAAUGUUUGAAGAAAAUUUGAGAAAUAAAGUUACAUCAGUGAGAAAAUUGAGGACACUAGUUUUACUUGGGGACUACGACUCUUACUUCUUACAAUUAUUCCAUGAGAUAUUCCAAACGGCACAUAAUUUACGCCUGCUUCACACUUCUGCAACAUCCGCUGAUUUUAAUUCCUCCCGGUGUAGCUUGGUAAAUACUACACAUCUUCGCUAUCUACAACAUGGGUCUGGUAAGGUGAAUGAGUCUUUUGCUCACGAUUUGAGCAAGCUGUACCAUCUUCAAGUAUUAGAUGUCCGCUCAGACACUUAUUCUCCUACUAUACCUGAUGGUAUUAAUAAUCUUGUUAGCCUGCGGCAUCUGGUUCUACACAAGGGAGUGUACCCUUUCAUUGCUAGCAUCGGUAAGCUGACAUCUCUUCAGGAACUAUAUGGUUUUAAGGUUCAGAAUUCUAGUGGCUUUGAGAUAACACAACUCCAAUCGAUGAACGGGCUUGUACAGCUUGAGGUGUCUCAACUUGAUACUGUGCAAACUCGGGAAGAGGCUUAUGGGGCAGGACUGAGAAACAAAGGACACUUAGAAAACCUUCACUUGUCCUGGAAGGAUACCUUGUCAGAUAAUGAAUCUCCUGCGGACACAGCAAGGAAACAUAGCGAAGUCCUUGAGGGUCUUCAACCACAUAAGAACUUAAAGGAUCUGCAGAUAUCUGGGUACAGUGGCACCUCCCCAACUUGGCUUGCCAGCAAUAUGUCAGCUACCUCCUUGCAGACGCUUCAUCUAGAUUGCUGUGGAGAAUGGAAAAUACUUCCAUCUCUGGAAAGGUUUCCUUGUCUGAGAAUGCUGAAGUUGAGCAACCUGUGGAAAGUAACAGAAAUAUUGGUUCCUUCAUUGGAGGAGCUAGUUUUAGUUCGCAUGCCAAAGCUGCAGAGAUGUACAUGCACUUCGGUGGAGGGUCUCAACUCUAGCUUAAGAACACUGCGGAUCAAGAAUUGUGAAAAACUGGAAGUGUUUGAUCUGUUUGAGAACGGCGAUAAAUUCAUAAUUGAGCAGAGGUCAUGGCUGUCUGGUGUUAGGGAACUAAUCCUGAUUGAUUGCCCUCUGUUGGGAGUGUUGAACCGUCUUCCACCUUCAGCAACCUUUUCCGAGUUACAAAUCAGUGGAGUUUCAACACUUCCGAGAAUGAAGGGAUCUUAUGAAAAGUUACACGUUUUGCUUCCUCGUGUUGAGUCAUUUUCUGAGAAGGAUACCUCUUCUGAGCGGAAGAGUGUUGGAGAGGUUUUGGCAUUCCAUAAUCUCAGGAGCCUCAAAUUUCUGAGCAUAAAUGGUUACGGAGAGAAUUCAAUGUCUAUUUUCUUCAAAGAUUUAAGCCAUCUCGUCUCUUUAAAGAGUUUGAAAAUUGAAUCAUGCGAAAUUGUUAUGCCAGAGCCUACCCGUGAAGAUAUGCCAGCUGCAAAUUGCAAGGUCUUCCCGUAUCUUCAGAGUCUCGUGAUUAAAUCAUGUGGAAUAACGGGGAAGGGACUAUCUCUGAUGCUGCAACAUUCACCAGUUCUUGAGAAAUUGGUUUUGUUUGAUAGCUCGGAUAUAACACUCUUAUCGAUAGAAGAGGAAGGAAACAGUCUAUCAAAUCUUACAUCAGACAGGGAGCCACAAGACGAGCUAUUUUUGCACAUUCCAUUUAAUCUCAGCUCCAGUCUCAAGAAGAUAACUAUUGAGGACUGCCCUUCUCUAAGAUUUAACGGGAGCAAGAAAGGCUUCUCUGGAUUUACUAUCCUUGAGAAGCUAAAUAUCUGGGGAUGCCCCGAGCUGCUCUUGUCUUUGGUGCUUAAAAGACGGAAGUGAUGACCAGGCAAACGGAAGAUGGCUCCUCCCAGAAUCACUCGGAGAACUUGAUAUCAGUGACUAUCCCGAAGAAACACUGCAGCCCUGCUUUCCAAGUAAUCUCACCAGCCUCAAGAAGUUGGGACUGAGCAGCGCAUAUUUGAAAUCUCUACAGCUGCACUCAUGCACGGCACUGGAAGAGUUGGAAAUUAAACCCUGUUAUUUGCUCAGCAUAGUAGAGGGCAUGCAGUCCCUUGGCAGCCUCCGACAUUUGACAGUACUUGGCUGCCCUUGCUUGCCAUCGUAUUUGGAGAGCUUUUCAAGGCAGUGCAAUGAGCUGCUCCCUCGACUGGGAACGCUUGUGAUCGGUGACCCAGCUGUCCUCACCACGUUAUCCUGCAAGCGCCUCACCUCCCUGCACAGCCUACAACUUAGGCUUCGGUGGAUGCUAGUGACGAGACUAACGGAGGAGCAAGAGAGAGCGCUUGUGCUCCUCAAGUCCCUGCAAGAGCUCACCUUUUACGUCUGUCCUCAUCUCAUGCAUCUUCCCGCGGGGCUGCACACCCUUCCUUCCCUCAAGAGGUUGAAGAUUGAUUAUUGUCCGAGCAUCUUAAGGCUGCCGGAAACAGGCCUCCCAGUUUCGCUGGAAGAACUGGAACUCAAAUGUUGCAGCAACGAGCUACGUGAUCGAUGCAUGCCUCCAGCAACAAGCAAGCUAAAGGUCAAAAUCAUUCCAAGACCUUUGAAUUGAUUACUGUAUGCCUUGUCAAGCACAUGUUUGUGGCACAAGUUGGCCUCAAAAGGCAACGAAGUGAUAUAUGCUGUAAAGGUGCUGUAAAAUUGUAAUACACUAGUACUUGUGACCAGCAAUUUCUUUACAUCUUGUUUGCUCGUUCGGUUAACUAUGGAGUAACAAGCAUCAUAUCC